UUCAAUUUUCUGUGUUUUUUUUAGCAUUUUAAAAAUGGUAGAGAAAAUUUUGUUUUCUGUAAAGUGAAAAUGACAUCUGUAGAUGCAAUGAGUUAUUUAAGUUGUUAAUCUUUGUUCGCAUUUAAGAAAUUUGUACUUCUCAACUAGGUUUUUGGUUUCUUGAGGAGGUUUUGGAGUUAGUACUUGAUUUUAGUAGGAUUGUUACCAUAAGGGUUGCUAAACAAGUUAGUAGUUGUGUAUAUCCAAACGUUUAGGAUAUGGUGUUCUAGUAAUGGAUGAUUAAGAACUUCAGCUAUCAAACAAUGUUGCAUCCGAGUUGUGUAGUAUUCUGGAUGCAAUUGAAUUUCUAACUAAUUUGUUUGCUUUAAUUGCCCGCUAGCCCACUUUUUUGUGACUUAUUUUGUGCAGAGAUUCAUAAUUCAGUGGACAUGUAAUAGCCUCAAAAUUCCUUACAGAUGAUUCUUCCAAAAAUCGCGAUGCUGAGAAGAAGCAAGUGAUGUAAGGAGAUCAAAUUUUAGCUGAAAAAGCUUAAGGACAGUGUUUGUGAUGCUGAUGACAUAAUGGAUGAAUCCUCUUAUGAAACCUGUUGCGUCUGCACCGAUAUACAGUUCGAAGCUGGCUAAAUUUCCGUCAGUAAUUAACUGAUUGCCAUGAUGACUUGUCGUCUCAUUAUGGUUCAUCUUCAACAGCUUCUCUUUUGAAGCUCAUCAAUUUUUCCUUGAGUUUCUUGUCGGGAAUCUUUUGAAGCUUCACGUACAUACUCAGUUUUGUGACAAGUUCAACAUACGUCAUAAUAUUGCCGAACUUCUGGGGUAUCUAUGGCAGGUUCCUAGCCAUCCCAAUGCAUUAGUAAAGAUUGACAAAGAAGAGGAGAAGGGGUGUAUUUGAACUUUCUCAAAGUAUGUUUCUUCUAGACGGAAGUCUAAACAGAAUUCUGAAACUGAAAGAGAUAGAAAAGAGACGGUGAAUACCGUGGAAUGGGAAAGGAGAUCAUCUCAAGAGAGGCAAGAGAGAACCCGACAGUUCCAUUCUCAAGAGAAUGUUUUCUUUAAUUU